CUGAAAUUCCCCUCACCUUCAACCUAAAAAGUAAAAUGCUCAUUUGAACUCGCCUCCCUUUGUGAAAUUGAUAUCGACAAAACGUUUCAUCCUAUUUCUUUCUCUUUCACUACAUAUCCUAGCCCCCAAUUUCCAAACCCUUCAAUUUUAGAUCGCUAAACCUUUCAUCUACCACCCUAUUAAUCCAAGUAAUGAAUUUUAUUAAAACCCUAGAUUUUGCAGCAAACAUGGGGGAGGUUAAUUGCGAGUGUCAAUGGCUUAUUUUAGAGAGCAAGGAUUAGAGAAGCGGUGGAACAACACCAACGCAGCGUGAAAGAGUGAGAAAAUGGAGAACGAAAGGUGAAUUGUGAGGUUGAAGUGAUUUCAUGGAGGAAGUGUCGGGUUAAGGUAAAGUUCGAUAUCAAAUCGGCUUGGAAUGCUCUAAUAGAUUGUGAAUACCUCGCUGAUUGUGUCGCAAAUCUCGUUUGCAGCGUCACGACAUAAUCGAAAAUGACAGAUGCAAGUAUGCAAAAACUCCAGACAAAAUGAUGCAAGCCCCAAAAUCAGACAGAAUCGAUUCCACUAGCAAGCUGGCAGGACAGAAUAUGCACAGGGUGCUCGUAGAAAUCAUCUAGUUCCUGUAAUAAAAAAGGAAGAUGGUUCUGCUAGCAGAGCUUUCCUUGACAAUGUUGGUCAAUGAUACGCUUUUGGUUAGAUUGACACUAGAUUUGUGGAAGUGAUGACAUUCAGAAAACACCACAUGGCAUUUUUUUUCAGAAGUCGGAUCUAUUCUUCGUCUGAAUGCUACAACCUCUGUGCUUUAAAAUUCAAGUUUAGGAAACAGAACCUGCAACAACUUUGUGGAUGCCCUUCCAAGAAUAUGCAAUGCAGUAUUUUGUUCAGAGAUAUGAGAUCUAAGUUCUUGAGGUACAUGGUUAAAAUUUGCAACGCAAGAAUGGAGGGUCAGUAUUCAGGAUUUCCGGCCAACAGUGGCUAUCAACCAAGCUUUAGAGAUGGACGCAAAUUCAUCUGCUUCAACAAUCAGUCUUUCAAAUGAGAUACAUAGCUAACUAUGUACAACAUACGUAAAAUAUCGUAUAGUGGAUAUGCACAUCAUGACACUAGAAUUAAAGGGUGUUAUUACUGAAUGAUACUCAAGAGAACGCUUCAACUAGUUAGAUUUUGUUUUGUUCUUUUAGAUUGAACAAGAAUUACUUAUCUUUUAGUUUUUGAGAAUUUAAAGAUGAGUGUUGUAAUUUUUGGUUUCACAUAACUUGAAAUUCUAUUGUCAAUAAUCUUUCGAGUAAUGCAAUUUUCAUUUGU